rnacentral:lncRNA from 1 species
ACUAUAGUAGUAUAUUACUGCAUAGUAAUCGUACAACAGAGAGGGGUUCCCCCUUAUUACAUAAACGUUCCCUCAAUAAAACUAUUACUCAACUUAUAUCUAAUAUUAGCAACAUAUCAUGGCCAUCUCCUUGACAUUAUUCCUGACACCGUGCUGCUCAUUAAUAACUGAUUCUGCAACAAAAAAACCGAAAUACUCUGUAUUAGUUAUCUUUUAGCUGAUUGUAUUAAAUAAUUUACAGUAUCAAUAUGUAAUUGUUAAAGUAUCAAAAAAAUGGAACUAGUGACGUAUCCAUAGAUCGAUUUGAAGUGAAGAUGCAAUUUCUUUUUUUAAUAUAAAGGAUUUAACUUACAAACAUUCAUAGCAUAAUAAAAUUUAUGAUAUCAAGUUACCCAUAAUUGUAAUUAAGAAGGUUUACUUAACUUGCAGUAAUUGAUUUCUUAUAGUUUGAUAGUCCAAAUAUAUUUUUUAUAGUUUCAGUGUGUAGAACUUACGUAUCACAAUUGAUGGUCUUGGAGACGGGGACGUCCAUGGCGACACCACACUUAGAAGCAAGAGCCUGAGCAGCAUCAUCUUUAGAUAUCAAUUGUUGUUUUAAGCGUCAAUACUAAUAGCUUUUAAUAAAUUGAACAUUUAUAGCAUAACAAACUUCUAUAAUGUCUAGUUGCCCAUACUUAUAAUUGAGAGGUUUACUUGUAGUAAUUGCUUUUAGUAAUUGAUAAUCGAAAUAUUUUUCUAUAGUUUCAGUGCAUAAAAC